rnacentral:pre_miRNA from 1 species
GGCUUUUUGGCUGGUCUCAUACCGUUUAGUACUGGAUAUGAGAUCAUUCAAGAAGCCCAAA